rnacentral:sRNA from 1 species
AACAUACAGGUUUGUCUGACCCAACGGGUCC